CAGUCGCCGCGGGAAUACGAAGGGGGCUAGCGUUGUUCGGAUUUACUGGGCGUAAAGGGCGCGUAGGCGGGCUGAUAAGUCAGGGGUGAAAUCCCAAGGCUCAACCUUGGAACUGCCUUUGAUACUGUUUGUCUUGAGUUCGAGAGAGGUAAGUGGAACUGCGAGUGUAGAGGUGAAAUUCGUAGAUAUUCGCAAGAACACCAGUGGCGAAGGCGGCUUACUGGCUCGAAACUGACGCUGAGGCGCGAAAGCGUGGGGAGCAAACAGGAUUAGAUACCCGUGUAGUCCCUGUCUCUUAUAA
rnacentral:rRNA from 1 species